CGCUAGCUACAGGCUUAACACAUGCAAGUCGAGGGGCAGCAUGGUCUUAGCUUGCUAAGGCCGAUGGCGACCGGCGCACGGGUGAGUAACACGUAUCCAACCUGCCGUCUACUCUUGGACAGCCUUCUGAAAGGAAGAUUAAUACAAGAUGGCAUCAUGAGUCCGCAUGUUCACAUGAUUAAAGGUAUUCCGGUAGACGAUGGGGAUGCGUUCCAUUAGAUAGUAGGCGGGGUAACGGCCCACCUAGUCUUCGAUGGAUAGGGGUUCUGAGAGGAAGGUCCCCCACAUUGGAACUGAGACACGGUCCGAACUCCUACGGGAGGCAGCAGUGAGGAAUAUUGGUCAAUGGGCGAGAGCCUGAACCAGCCAAGUAGCGUGAAGGAUGACUGCCUUAUGGGUUGUAAACUUCUUUUAUAAAGGAAUAAAGUCGGGUAUGGAUACCCGUUUGCAUGUACUUUAUGAAUAAGGAUCGGCUAACUCCGUGCCAGCAGCCGCGGUAAUACGGAGGAUUCGAGCGUUAUCCGGAUUUAUUGGGUUUAAAGGGAGCGUAGAUGGAUGUUUAAGUCAGUUGUGAAAGUUUGCGGCUCAACCGUAAAAUUGCAGUUGAUACUGGAUAUCUUGAGUGCAGUUGAGGCAGGCGGAAUUCGUGGUGUAGCGGUGAAAUGCUUAGAUAUCACGAAGAACUCCGAUUGCGAAGGCAGCCUGCUAAGCUGCAACUGACAUUGAGGCUCGAAAGUGUGGGUAUCAAACAGGAUUAGAUACCCUGGUAGUCCACACGGUAAACGAUGAAUACUCGCUGUUUGCGAUAUACGGCAAGCGGCCAAGCGAAAGCGUUAAGUAUUCCACCUGGGGAGUACGCCGGCAACGGUGAAACUCAAAGGAAUUGACGGGGGCCCGCACAAGCGGAGGAACAUGUGGUUUAAUUCGAUGAUACGCGAGGAACCUUACCCGGGCUUAAAUUGCAGAUGAAUUACGGUGAAAGCCGUAAGCCGCAAGGCAUCUGUGAAGGUGCUGCAUGGUUGUCGUCAGCUCGUGCCGUGAGGUGUCGGCUUAAGUGCCAUAACGAGCGCAACCCUUGUUGUCAGUUACUAACAGGUUCUGCUGAGGACUCUGACAAGACUGCCAUCGUAAGAUGUGAGGAAGGUGGGGAUGACGUCAAAUCAGCACGGCCCUUACGUCCGGGGCUACACACGUGUUACAAUGGGGGGUACAGAGGGCCGCUACCACGCGAGUGGAUGCCAAUCCCAAAAACCUCUCUCAGUUCGGACUGGAGUCUGCAACCCGACUCCACGAAGCUGGAUUCGCUAGUAAUCGCGCAUCAGCCACGGCGCGGUGAAUACGUUCCCGGGCCUUGUACACACCGCCCGUCAAGCCAUGGGAGCCGGGGGUACCUGAAGUGCGUAACCGCGAGGAGCGCCCUAGGGUAAAACUGGUGACUGGGGC
rnacentral:rRNA from 1 species